GUUUCCCACAAGCCCCCGGGGCAGGGACCUCGCCGGCGCAGUUGUCUGGCUGGGACUGCGCGGGUGCUGCGGUCCCCAUUCCUAAUUCAAAGGCUGCUGUCUAACUCCCAGUGAGAAAUGAGGAAACACAAAUUGCAAAAGAUGAUUAGAGACUAUACUUUAUAGAGAACUCUGCAUAUUUACAAGGUUUUGCAAAAAAAAAUUUGGUAAGGUACAAUAUAUAAAAUAGGAGGGUCUAGAGAAAUGCUAUGCAAAUGAAGUAACUUUUCCAUUUGAAACGUUGCAUAACGCAGCAGGCCUCGGUUGUCCAAACGAUGCACGUUUCACAGGUCUUUCGGACAAGCCUUCCAUCAGCUACUGGAGAAAAUGGAUUCUGUGACUGUAAAAACCAAUGGCCGGGCGCGGCGGCUCACACCUGUCAUCCCAGCACUUUGGGAGGCCGAGGAGGGCGGAUCACGAGGUCAGGAGGUCGAGAUCAUCCUAGCUAUCUCUACUAAAAAUGCAAAAAAUUAGCCGGGCGUGGUGACAGGUGCCUGUAGUCCCAGCUACUGGGGAGGCGGAGCUUGGAGUGCGCGCUACUGCACUCCAGCCUGGGCGACAGAGCAAGACUCCGUCUCAAAAAAAAAAAAAAAAAAAAAAAACAACAACAACAAUGAAAUGUGCACGUUAAAUGGCUGUACAUUCUAUAUGUCAGUAAAGCUGGUUUUU